rnacentral:lncRNA from 1 species
AUGAGCCCUCUGUCUCGGACCCCAGAAGGGUCUGCAUUUCCUCCCCACGGGAGGGGAUGGAGGAAAGCUCCAUAUCCCCUUUCCUUUGUCCCUUACUGGAGUGGCACACCCAGCUAUGUUAUACUGUCAGAGAUCUCCUGGACCAGGUGGAGUGAGAUGAGCUCACUGAGGCAGAGGCCAAGGGAGCAGCUCCAGUCCAAGCUGAAGUCCUAUCAGCAGAGCCUGUGCCAGCUCCACCUGCAGCUGCCUCCCCAGAGCGCCAGAGCCAGAGCGAGCACCAGAAAGCCCUUCUCCUCCAGCUGCACAGCUGGGGCAAAUGGUGGCUCCUCAGCAGGUGUCAACUCCUGACCUCCCCUUGGGGCCAGCUCCUGACCUCCCCUUGGGGCCAGCUCCUGACCUCCCCUUGGGGCCAGCUCCUGACCUCCCCUUAGGGCCAGCUCCUGCCCCACACUGGCCAUUCCCCUCCAUUAUUGUUGCUCUUGUUCUUUCCUUGACUUUUGCACUUAUUUGGUGGAUUUACAUCAAUGAUAGAUCGAUUUUUAAAUAAAAUGUAAGAUUUUACUGUUGCUUAAUAUGAUCGGCUUGGUGGCAUGAAGUGCCUUCUCAGUGCGGUGAACCUGACACCUCUGUCGCGGUCCAGGGCAUUUUCCUCAGUGAUGCACCCAUAAGUGGUUCCUCCUCUGACACCUGCUGCUAGUCCCUGGCCACCACUCAUCUUAUGUCCCUGUAAUUUACCUAUUCUACAUUUUUCACAUCAGUUCAAUCAGAUUUCUCUGUGUCCACAUAAUCCUGGAAGGGACUGAUGACUCUUGCUUUAUGUAGAAGGGAAAAUCCUACAUAUAUCCUCAACAUUUUUCAUUCACCUAUUGUAUAAAUUAUGCAGUUUUUUUGUCAGACAAGAAAUAUUUAUUAAUUAGUGCAAUACGAAUGAAGAAUAAAAGAAAGGACAUAGUCACAGUCAUCCCACCAGGAACCUUCCCCCCCUCCCCAGUGCUUCCCCUUCC